CCAGCGCCUACUCCGACGGGAGGAAAAACCGGUAUAGUCCACCGGCCUGGCGCUGGCACCUAUUGAACGG
rnacentral:sRNA from 1 species